GAUGAACGCUGGCGGCGUGCCUAACACAUGCAAGUCGAACGGAGUAUCUUUAACAGAAUUUCUUCGGAAAGGAAGAUAUUGAUACUUAGUGGCGGACGGGUGAGUAACGCGUGGGCAACCUGCCUCAUACAGGGGAAUAACAACCGGAAACGGUUGCUAAAACCGCAUAAUAUGCUAACAUCGCAUGAUGACUGCAUUAAAUAUUUAUAGGUAUGAGAUGGGCCCGCGUCUGAUUAGCUAGUUGGUGAGAUAAAAGCUCACCAAGGCGACGAUCAGUAGCCGGCUUGAGAGAGUGACCGGCCACAUUGGGACUGAGACACGGCCCAAACUCCUACGGGAGGCAGCAGUGGGGAAUAUUGCACAAUGGGGGAAACCCUGAUGCAGCGACGCCGCGUGAGUGAAGAAGUAUUUCGGUAUGUAAAGCUCUAUCAGCAGGGAAGAAAAUGACGGUACCUGACUAAGAAGCCCCGGCUAACUACGUGCCAGCAGCCGCGGUAAUACGUAGGGGGCAAGCGUUAUCCGGAUUUACUGGGUGUAAAGGGAGCGUAGGUGGCGAGUCAAGUCAGAUGUGAAAGCCCGGGGCUCAACCCCGGGAUUGCAUUUGAAACUGGUUUGCUAGAGUGCAGGAGAGGUAAGUGGAAUUCCUAGUGUAGCGGUGAAAUGCGUAGAUAUUAGGAGGAACACCAGUGGCGAAGGCGGCUUACUGGACUGUAACUGACACUGAGGCUCGAAAGCGUGGGGAGCAAACAGG
rnacentral:rRNA from 1 species